rnacentral:rRNA from 1 species
CAGGUGGGGUAAUUUUCCGCAAUGGGCGAAAGCCUGACGGAGCAAUGCCGCGUGGAGGUGGAAGGCCUACGGGUCGUCAACUUCUUUUCUCGGAGAAGAAACAAUGACGGUAUCUGAGGAAUAAGCAUCGGCUAACUCUGUGCCGG